UGUCAGAAAAAUCAAUAUAAACUUAAAGGCAAAAUCAUUAAAUAGAAUAGAGGUUUAUCAACCAUUAAUAUAAGACAAAAUCACCAAGAAGAUAUAAUAAUAGUGAGCCUUCACAUACCAAACAACAUAGUGUUACAAUAUAUAAAUGCUAAACUGUCAGAAACACAAGAAUUUGAGAAAAACUCAACCAUCAUAGGAGACCUGAAAACUCCUUUCUCAGGAUUUAGGAAGUGAGAGAACAUUUUAGCAAACUGAGAAAAUACUUUUUUAAAAAAUUGGAUCACCUAUAGCCAUGAAAGAAAGUUUCAAUAAAUUCCCCCAAAAUGUAGGUCAUAAAGAUCACACUCUCGGCUGGGUGUGGUGGCUCACGCCUGUAAUCCCAACACUUUGGGAGGCCAAGGCAGGCAGAUCACCUGAGGUCAGGAGUUCGAGACCAGUCUGGCCAACAUGGUGAAAUCCCAUCUCUACCAAAAAUACAAAAAUUAGCCAGGCAUGGUGGCGGCUAAUCCCAGUUAUUCAGGAGGCUGAGGCAGGAGAAUCUCUUGAACCCAGGAGGCGGAGGUUGCAGUGGGCUGAGAUCACACCACUGCACUUCAGCCUGGGCAACAGAGUAAGACUCUGCCUCAAAAAAAAAAAAAAACAAAAAAACAAAAAACAUUCUCUGAAUGCUAGAAAGCAAGUCUCCUGUGGUCAGCAAUCUUACCAGUUUUAUUUACCUUCAUGCUUCAGCACCCAACACAUUGUUCAGCAAAAAGCAGGGAUCCAUAAGAAUUUGUUACAUAGGAAGAAGGUUAGGCUGUCAAUAAAACUUAAAGACAACAUGAAAAAGAUAUCCUCCUCCCAAUAUGAUCUCUUACAAAUUUUUAUAGCACUCUUGAAAAUAAUUCUUGUGUCAAAGAGAAAACAAAUAUGCAAAUGAGAGCCUGUUUAGCAAUAAAGCACUGUCUUCAAAUGUAUAGGUUUACUUUUUUGAGAGAAUAUACAAUCUCAAAUGCAUUUCUUGGGAAACACAAAAGAUUAAAAAUAAAGGAAACUGAGCAUUCCACUGAAGAAGGGAGAAACAGUAGAAAAAUGAAAGGGGAAAUCAUAAAAUGAAAACAAAAUAAUUAACUAGACAACAAGGGAAAUCAAUAUACCUAAGAAACUGAAAAACAAAUAAAAAAACUUCAAAUCUGACCAUGAAAAAUAUAGAAAAUACUGAUAAAGCAUAUUAGGAAUAAUAAAAGGGCUCUGUGGCUCAGGCUGGAGUGCAGUGACACAAUCACAGCUCACUGCAGCCUCCACCUCCUGGGCUCAAGCGAUCCUCCACCUCAGCCUCCUGAGUAGCUGGGAGUAACUGGCACGCACAACCACGUCUCGCUAAUUUUUGUAUUUUUUUGUAGAGAUGGGGUUUCACCAGGUUGCUCAGGCUGGUCUCGAACUCCUGAGCCCAAGUGAUCCCCCCUGGCCUUGGCCUCCCAGAGUGCUGAGAUUGCACAGGUGAGGCACUGCACCCAGCCGAGUCUUUUUAAUAACUAGAAUAACACUGUGCUUACCUUUAUAGUAAGUUUAACAUUUAAAGGAAAUGGAUGACUCUCUCAGAAAAUAUAAGCAAAACAGACUCAAGAAGAAGUAACAUCAUCUUGGUUGGUCGGUAUUUUGUAAACACAUUUCCCCAGUCUUUUGUUUACCUGUUGAUUUUGUUUAUCAUGCCAUAUAUAAUUUCUCCUUCCCCCAAAUUAUGCAAAUAUUAUCCUAUAAUUCUUCCUUAUAAUUUACAGUUUUAUUUUUUAUUUUAUUUUAUUUUGAGAUGGAGUCUUGCUCUAUCGCCCAGGCUGGAGUGCAGUGGCGCGGUCUCAGCUCACUGCAAGCUCCGCCUCCCAGGCUCAGCCAUUCUCCUGCCUCAGCCUCCCAAGUAGCUGGGACUACAGGUGUGUGCCACAAUGCCCGGCUAAUUUUUUUUUUUUUUAAUUUUAGUAGAGAUGGGGUUUCACCGUGUUAUCCAGGAUGGUCUCGAUCUCCUGACCUCGUGAUCUGCCCGGUUUGGCCUCCCAAAGUGCUGGGAUUACAGGUGUGAGCCACCGCACCCAGCCAGUUUUAUUUUUUUGUUAAGCUCUUCAAUUAUUUUUGUUGUGAGAUUGGGGUCUACCCUUAUUUUCUUCCAAACAGAUAAUCCACUUACUUGAUAUCAUUAACCCCUGCCUGGCACGACCUCCUGAUCCCCAGUGACCCAAGAAGCAAGUUGUGUUUGCUGAUGCAAAGGGGCUCUUGUUGGCAUCGGUGCACAGAGACGGGAUCUCACCAUCUUGCCCAGGCUGGUCUCCUAACUCCUGGGCUCAAGCGAGCCUCCCACCUUGGCCUCCCGAGUAGCUGGGACCUACUGAGUCAUACUUGUAGUCACAUCCUUUUCCUUUCUCCAACCCACUGGUUAAUCAUGAAAGGCUCUUCUGAUUGGCUGCCUCCUGGCAGUAGUGCCUCAGCGCGACGGUUCGGGAGCAAAUAAAUAAUUCCCGCUGGGAAGCUGUUUCUCAGACAGGAGCAGCGACACCCCUGCCACGCCUGCCGCCUGGAGUUGAGUGGGGUCCCCGUGCCGCCUUCAGCGCGCCUCCUUAUGCACCUCUACCUCUGCUGCAGCGUACCUCUUCCGCAGCCCUAGCGGCCUCCCCGAGGGGCGCCGCGGCCUCGGCUGUCCCUCCCCUGCCUGGCACGACCACCUGACCCCCAGCGACCCAAGAAGCAAGUUGUGUUUGCAGACGCAAAGGGGCUGUCGUUGGUAUCGGUGCACUGGUUUGAAGCCACUGCGGGCACAGCCUGAAGAGGGCCGGUGUCCCGCGUGCAGCCUCCCCGGCCCGGCCUCCUCCUGCUGCAGAACCGCCCCCCACGCCCGGGCUGCUGCGCCCCAGGAGGGACUAGCGGGUAUUCAGGGAUGCCCGCACUCUCGGGGGCGAGCCUGCAGCUGUGUGCCCUGUAGGGGCUUCCUGCGGGGCACCGUGAGCGCAGGUGGGGACAAGCGGGCCGUGCAGAUGCGCACCCCCUGGAUGCCUGGGGCUCCUUCCAACAAGAGCCCUGUGUUGGAAUGCCGGGUCCCCGCCGAGGUGAGAGGGUCGGCUUCGCCUUCCAGGUGGUGUUGCCGCCGAGUACCCUGGCCCCGCGGGCCACCGUCCAGUUCUGCUUCUCUUUAGAGCGUGCUCAGCGGCCUUUCGGGGACAGUAAUCAAAGGCAAAACUACAGCUGGGUGCCGGGUUCGCCGUCCUGCUCAUCAGAAUGAAGCCAGGCUCUGUGAGGGCGCACAGACAGACAGGCUGAGGCCUCUGCGCCUGCCUUUUCCACCUGGGCAAAGCGUGAUUUCUUGUCCAGGACGCGCGUGUUUCCCAUGUCGGGGAACUUUGCUCAAUCUGUUUUCUUGCUCCUGAAUUCAUAAUGGGGAAACAGGACUGAUUCAACUCCUAGUCCCUGCAGAAGGCCUCGAAUGCCUUGCAUUCUUCUCUCACUUCCUGACUACAAGGGAUGAGGUUUUGCUUUAGGAAGAUUCUGGGAAUGGAGUCGGGAAACCGAAGAAAUGCAAAUAAAGUAUUUAUAUGUAAUUAUUGAAAGGGCUUAGCAGAGAGUGUCUAAGGACCGUGGGUGGUGUGUGCGUGCGCAUGUGUGUAUGUUUGUGUGUGUAUUGCAGAGGUUGGGGAGGGGUUCUUUACGUUAAAGAUGGGAGAGAGAACUUUGCCCUUCUACUUUCCUCUCCAUCUAGGAAGGGCUACUUUCCUGGUAACUUGAAAUAGUCAGGCUUAUUCCACUUUUGCCAAAAGGAAUGUUCAUUAAAGCAUCUUCAACAGUUGAUAUAAUAAACACUUUUUCUCCCUCUUCAUCAUAUAAAAGUGUGGGGAGACUCUGUCUCUGUUCAUUUCAAAAUAUGGGUACUUUUAAAAACACUUAUUUUCAGUAGUUUAGUACACUUUAAUUUUUAAUUUUAAUUUUUAUUAUUAUUUUUUAGACAGUAUCUCCUCAUGUUGUCCAAACUGGUCUUGAACUCCUGGGUUCAACUGGUCCUCCUGCCUAAGGAUCACUCAGAGUGUUGGGAUUACAGGUGUGAGCCAUGGUGCCUGGGUACUACUUUUUUUUUUUUUUUUUUUUUGAGAUGGAGUCUCACCUUGUCACCCAGGUUGGAGUGCAAUGGUGCCAUAUCAGCUCACUGCAAUCUCCACCUCCUGGGUUCAAAUUAUUCUCCUGCCUCAGCCUCCUGUGUAGCUGCGAUUAUAGGCACCUGCCACCAUGCACUGCUAUUUUUUAUAUCUUUAGUAGAGACGGGGUUUCAUCAUGUUGGCCAGGCUGGUCUCAAACUGCUGACCUCGUGAUCCUCCCACCUUGGCCUCCCAAAGUGCUGGGAUUACAGGCGUGAGCCAACACACCCGGCUGCUACUACUUCUUUGAAUGCAAUUUACCUAGACCCAGAAACCUGACCUUUGCCCCCACGGCCCCCAUAGCUCCCCAUUAUGUAUUGAUGGUCCGGUAUUGAAAGCAUCCACUGAAGUGUUUGCCUCCCCCAGGAUGGGAGAAAGUGAGGACAAGUUGGCCUUGGACACAGCCGGCCGCAGGCUGGCCACCCCCCUGGAGCUCAGAACAUAUGGAUUAGAAUAAUAUAUGUGAAUGUGUGCCAAGUAUGCCUCUAGCUUCAAUUUACAGUGUUCUGAGAGCUUUAGAUGUUGGAAGGCUUUAACCUCUUUUCAGGGACUCUUCAUUCUUCGAUUAUUAUUCAUAGAUGACAAAUUUUAAAUAAAAGAUUUCUUUUUGUACA